rnacentral:lncRNA from 1 species
UUAUGAUAUUAAAAUUAGGCUCUAAUGACAUUAUUGAGGGAAGAUGAAGGAACCUUCCUUCCUAUAUUAAUUAAUUGAUGUAUUUUAAGCCACUAAAAUUUAAUUGUUUGCAUAAUAAAAUAAAUGAAUGUUUCAAGACUUAUAAUUAAUUAUUAUUAAUGGUUACAUAUUGUUGAAUUUAAAUAGAAAGAGGAAAAGACAUGUAAUCAUUUAUAAUCUAAUAAUUAUUUUUU